GGUCAAGGAAAAUGCCAAUUCCACUACAUUCAUGCCUGGGACUGACUCAGGCAACAUGGAGAGAGAUACUUACCUCUUUGGAACAGAACGCAUUUGAUCUGUGGCCCCAAAGCUUCUCCCAGGGUCAGAACCAUUCCCACAGACCAUACUACUUGGGAGGCCCUUGUCGGUAAACACACCCGGGAAAUGAAUUACAAGUUGGAUGCUGCAGCCUUGAACCGGCCCACAGAACCCUCCAGCUAGAAUGGGAAUCUCUCUGUCCUCAUGAGGGCCACAGAGCUGUACUCUAUCUUCUCAUUUGCCUUGCUAGAAGGUCCCCGUUCAAUCACCCACUCCAUCCAGGAUGUCCUCCUGGCAGCUCCUACUGCCCAUGCCCAGGAGGCUUACUUAGCAGGCCCACCCCCAAUCACUGGAUAACUAAUGGCACAAGUUGCCCUGAAACAGGAGGAAAAUGGAAAUUCCAGAAGUCUUAUCCCUCUGGGUGACAGAUUUGCUACUGAGUGAUAUGCGGACACCCAGCAAGAAGUCAGGGUGUGACUUACCUGCAAAACUAUUCUGCAUUUUGUCUUUUUUUUUUUUUCAUUCCAAACUGAUACCCUAUAUUUUAGGUAAGAAUUAUGUUUUAUCCUAAGUAACAUGCAAUGGAUCUUCCAUUUCGGACAGAGUAUAUAGCCAGCAUACCUGCUUUAACUGACUUAUUUAAGGUGC
rnacentral:lncRNA from 1 species